rnacentral:rRNA from 1 species
UCUCCAGACUCCUACGGGAGGCAGCAGUGGGGAAUAUUGCACAAUGGGGGAAACCCUGAUGCAGCGACGCCGCGUGAGCGAAGAAGUACCUCGGUAUGUAAAGCUCUAUCAGCAGGGAAGAAGAUGACGGUACCUGACCAAGAAGCUCCGGCUAAAUACGUGCCAGCAGCCGCGGUAAUACGUAGGGGGCAAGCGUUAUCCGGAUUUACUGGGUGUAAAGGGGGCGCAGACGGCGAUGCAAGCCAGGAGUGAAAGCCCGGGGCCCAACCCCGGGACUGCUCUUGGAACUGCGUGGCUGGAGUGCAGGAGGGGCAGGCGGAAUUCCUGGUGUAGCGGUGAAAUGCGUAGAUAUCAGGAGGAACACCAGUGGCGAAGGCGGCCUGCUGGACGAUGACUGACGCUGAGGCUCGAAAGCGUGGGGAGCAAACAGGAUUAGAUACCCUCGUA